UUGAUUCUGAUUUUCAGU
rnacentral:snRNA from 1 species